rnacentral:rRNA from 1 species
ACUCAAAUGAAUUGACGGGGGCCCGCACAAGCAGCGGAGCAUGUGGUUUAAUUCGACGCAACGCGAAGAACCUUACCUGGGCUUGACAUGUUCGUGACAGGUGUAGAAAUACACCCUCCCUUCGGGGCACGAUCACAGGUGGUGCAUGGCUGUCGUCAGCUCGUGUCGUGAGAUGUUGGGUUAAGUCCCGCAACGAGCGCAACCCCCGUCGCAUGUUGCCAGCAUUUAGUUGGGGACUCAUGCGAGACUGCCGGUGACAAACCGGAGGAAGGUGGGGAUGACGUCAAGUCCUCAUGCCCCUUAUGUCCAGGGCUACACACGUGCUACAUUGGCGUAUACAAAGGGUUGCGAUACCGCGAGGUGGAGCGAAUCCCAAAAAGUACGUCUCGGUUCGGAUUGGAGGCUGAAACUCGCCUCCAUGAAGCUGGAGUUGCUAGUAAUCCCAGAUCAGCAACGCUGGGGUGAAUACGUUCCCGGGCCUUGUACACACCGCCCGU